GACUAUGGCCCUGCCAUCCUGAACAUAUUUGAUCUCAUUUGAUCUCGGAAGCUAUGCAAGAUCAUCUAGCUCUGGCUAGUACUGGAAUGGGAGACCACUUGGGAAAACCGGAUGCUAUAGGCU
rnacentral:rRNA from 1 species